rnacentral:rRNA from 1 species
GACGAACGCUGUCGGCGUGCUUAACACAUGCAAGUCGAACGGAAAGGCCCUGCUUUUGUGGGGUGCUCGAGUGGCGAACGGGUGAGUAACACGUGAGUAACCUGCCCUUGACUUUGGGAUAACUUCAGGAAACUGGGGCUAAUACCGGAUAGGAGCUCCUGCUGCAUGGUGGGGGUUGGAAAGUUUCGGCGGUUGGGGAUGGACUCGCGGCUUAUCAGCUUGUUGGUGGGGUAGUGGCUUACCAAGGCUUUGACGGGUAGCCGGCCUGAGAGGGUGACCGGCCACAUUGGGACUGAGAUACGGCCCAGACUCCUACGGGAGGCAGCAGUGGGGAAUAUUGCACAAUGGGCGGAAGCCUGAUGCAGCAACGCCGCGUGCGGGAUGACGGCCUUCGGGUUGUAAACCGCUUUCGCCUGUGACGAAGCGUGAGUGACGGUAAUGGGUAAAGAAGCACCGGCUAACUACGUGCCAGCAGCCGCGGUGAUACGUAGGGUGCGAGCGUUGUCCGGAUUUAUUGGGCGUAAAGGGCUCGUAGGUGGUUGAUCGCGUCGGAAGUGUAAUCUUGGGGCUUAACCCUGAGCGUGCUUUCGAUACGGGUUGACUUGAGGAAGGUAGGGGAGAAUGGAAUUCCUGGUGGAGCGGUGGAAUGCGCAGAUAUCAGGAGGAACACCAGUGGCGAAGGCGGUUCUCUGGGCCUUUCCUGACGCUGAGGAGCGAAAGCGUGGGGAGCGAACAGGCUUAGAUACCCUGGUAGUCCACGCUGUAAACGGUGGGUACUAGGUGUGGGGUCCAUUCCACGGGUUCCGUGCCGUAGCUAACGCUUUAAGUACCCCGCCUGGGGAGUACGGCCGCAAGGCUAAAACUCAAAGGAAUUGACGGGGCCCCGCACAAGCGGCGGAGCAUGCGGAUUAAUUCGAUGCAACGCGUAGAACCUUACCUGGGUUUGACAUGGAUCGGGAGUGCUCAGAGAUGGGUGUGCCUCUUUUGGGGUCGGUUCACAGGUGGUGCAUGGCUGUCGUCAGCUCGUGUCGUGAGAUGUUGGGUUAAGUCCCGCAACGAGCGCAACCCUUGUUCACUGUUGCCAGCACGUUAUGGUGGGGACUCAGUGGAGACCGCCGGGGUCAACUCGGAGGAAGGUGGGGAUGACGUCAAGUCAUCAUGCCCCUUAUGUCCAGGGCUUCACGCAUGCUACAAUGGCUGGUACAGAGAGUGGCGAGCCUGUGAGGGUGAGCGAAUCUCGGAAAGCCGGUCUCAGUUCGGAUUGGGGUCUGCAACUCAACCUCAUGAAGUCGGAGUCGCUAGUAAUCGCAGAUCAGCAACGCUGCGGUGAAUACGUUCCCGGG